rnacentral:rRNA from 1 species
GACGAACGCUGGCGGCGUGCUUAACACAUGCAAGUCGAACGGAAAGGCCCUGCUUUUGUGGGGUGCUCGAGUGGCGAACGGGUGAGUAACACGUGAGCAACCUGCCCUUGACUUUGGGAUAACUUCAGGAAACUGGGGCUAAUACCGGAUAGGAGCUCCUGCUGCAUGGUGGGGGUUGGAAAGUUUCGGCGGUUGGGGAUGGACUCGCGGCUUAUCAGCUUGUUGGUGGGGUAGUGGCUUACCAAGGCUUUGACGGGUAGCCGGCCUGAGAGGGUGACCGGCCACAUUGGGACUGAGAUACGGCCCAGACUCCUACGGGAGGCAGCAGUGGGGAAUAUUGCACAAUGGGCGGAAGCCUGAUGCAGCAACGCCGCGUGCGGGAUGACGGCCUUCGGGUUGUAAACCGCUUUCGCCUGUGACGAAGCGUGAGUGACGGUAAUGGGUAAAGAAGCACCGGCUAACUACGUGCCAGCAGCCGCGGUGAUACGUAGGGUGCGAGCGUUGUCCGGAUUUAUUGGGCGUAAAGGGCUCGUAGGUGGUUGAUCGCGUCGGAAGUGUAAUCUUGGGGCUUAACCCUGAGCGUGCUUUCGAUACGGGUUGACUUGAGGAAGGUAGGGGAGAAUGGAAUUCCUGGUGGAGCGGUGGAAUGCGCAGAUAUCAGGAGGAACACCAGUGGCGAAGGCGGUUCUCUGGGCCUUUCCUGACGCUGAGGAGCGAAAGCGUGGGGAGCGAACAGGCUUAGAUACCCUGGUAGUCCACGCUGUAAACGGUGGGUACUAGGUGUGGGGUCCAUUCCACGGGUUCCGUGCCGUAGCUAACGCUUUAAGUACCCCGCCUGGGGAGUACGGCCGCAAGGCUAAAACUCAAAGGAAUUGACGGGGCCCCGCACAAGCGGCGGAGCAUGCGGAUUAAUUCGAUGCAACGCGUAGAACCUUACCUGGGUUUGACAUGGAUCGGGAGCGCUCAGAGAUGGGUGUGCCUCUUUUGGGGUCGGUUCACAGGUGGUGCAUGGCUGUCGUCAGCUCGUGUCGUGAGAUGUUGGGUUAAGUCCCGCAACGAGCGCAACCCUUGUUCACUGUUGCCAGCACGUUAUGGUGGGGACUCAGUGGAGACCGCCGGGGUCAACUCGGAGGAAGGUGGGGAUGACGUCAAGUCAUCAUGCCCCUUAUGUCCAGGGCUUCACGCAUGCUACAAUGGCUGGUACAGAGAGUGGCGAGCCUGUGAGGGUGAGCGAAUCUCGGAAAGCCGGUCUCAGUUCGGAUUGGGGUCUGCAACUCGACCUCAUGAAGUCGGAGUCGCUAGUAAUCGCAGAUCAGCAACGCUGCGGUGAAUACGUUCCCGGGGCU